GGCUGCACGGUGGCGCAGUUGGUAGCACUGUUGCCUUGCAGCAACAGUGGGUUGCUGGGUUCGAUUCCCGGCCGGGGCU